GGAUGUGAGGGUGAUCUGGCUGCAACAUCUGUCACUCCAUUGAUCGCCAGGGUUGAUUUGACUGAUCUGGCUGGCUAGGCAUGUGUCCUCUUCCUCGCUCACCACUCCAUGUGCAUCCCUCCCCAAGCUGCGUGCUCGGUCGAAGAGGACUUGAACAGAGAUGGGCGGGUAUUCUGUCGAGGGCCUACGAGCAGCUGUGCUCCCCUGCUAGAACCUCCAAACAAACUCUCAAGUACACUAGAUUAAAAAAGCAAGUUAUUAGGGAUCUUAGGUUAGUCCGAAGUAGACAUUUCCU
rnacentral:snRNA from 1 species